UCCCCGGUAGCUCAGCGGUAGAGCAACCGGCUGUUAACCGGUUGGUCGCUGGUUCGAAUCCGGCCCGGGGAGCCA
rnacentral:tRNA from 430 species